rnacentral:lncRNA from 1 species
AUGUCUCUACAGAGAAAAGGGCCAAGGAAAUUAUCACAUGGAACUGGAAAGCAGGAGCAGUUGGUUUGUGGAAAAGGAAACCCAGGCCAGUGAUCUGAUCCCCGAACCUGCGUCAUUAGCAGGGACAAUCCACGGGGUGGAGAGAGUUGGGAGAGCAAGCAGGGGCGCUAGGAGAGCUAGCCUAAGGCGAAGGAGCAAGCAGGAAAGGGAGGUGGCCUUUCGGGCAACCGAAUUUGGGGCCUCAGUCACCAGAAUUUUAUGCGCUCUGAGAAAGAAGGGUUCUCGGGGAGACCCCUGGACGAGUGUCCAGGUAGUGUAGAAAAUAACUGCAACAUAUCCAUUGAGAUAAUCGAAGGCAGGGUCCCGGAAAAACGGCGGGCUCGACCUUCUUUAGUCGUAACUCAAAUUACUUUCGUAAUCUGAAAUAACUAAUGGAAAACUUGGGUGGGGAGGGAGAAAGAAAUGCUUUCUCUUGUCAGAAACGGCAGUUGCUGUUGUUCAACUGAAAAUGUUACAGACUAAGUAAGUGUAACUUGAGUACAACAAAACUGUCUUUGCAACCAGAUUACCAGGGGAGAGCGCGAACGCAGUCCCUCACUACCACAAAUUAUGCAGUCGAGUUUCCCGCAUUUGGGGAAAUCGCAGGGGUCAGCACACCCCAAGUGCAAUGGAUGGGCCUCGCCCUGGGAAAACCACCUGCUUGAUCAUGGUAUCUCCCCUGCCAGGGGAGAUACCAUGAUCAAGUAGGUGGUUUUCCCAGGGCGAGGCCCACCCAUUGCACUUGGGGUGUGCUGACCCCUGCGAUUUCCCCAAAUGCGGGAAACUCGACUGCAUAAUUUGUGUUAGUGGGGGACUGCGUUCGCGCUCUCCCCUGGUAUUCUUGUUGCAAAGAAAGUCUUGUACUCAUCUUGCGCUUAGCCUUACUUUUUCUGUAAUGAUUGUAGUUGACCCGCAGAGGAGGUUAAGUGUCUCUUCUCACCCCGUUUCUUCCCCCACCCCAAGCUUUUCCUUACUUUUUCCUUAGUUAUUACUAAAGUUUUAUUGAGCUAUGUGAUUUUAUUCUUUAAAGGUCUCAAGUCCUCUUCAAAUCUAAAGAUUGCCAUUUUUCCGGGACCCUGCCUUCGAUUGUUUCAAUGGAUAUGUUAGUUAUCUUCUAUAGACACCCUUCCCGGGGUCUCCCCUUCCCGAAGUCAGGCUGCCCCCCCCCCCAUCUCCAUUUUGUCCCCGAGUGAGACAAAAGAACCGAGAACCCUUCCUUCUCAGAGAACAUAAGAUUCUGGUGGCUGAGGCCCCAAAUUCAGUUGCCCGAAAGGUCACCUCCCUCUCCUGCUUGCUCCUUCGCCUUAGGCUAGCUCUCCUAGUGCCCCUAGUUGCUUUCCCGACUCUCUCCAUCCCGCGGAUUCUCCCUUCUAAAGACGCGGCUUCCAGGAUCAGAUCACUGCUCCUGCCUUCCAGUUCCAUGUGAUAGUUUCCUUGGCCCUUUUCUCUGUAGAGACAUCAGACAGAAAUGAUGCCACCAAUGCCCAUCCCUGAUCCCUGAAUAAAACUUAAUGCAGGGUGCUAAAAAGAAACCCGUUGCCCUAUUUAUGCUUUUCCUGAUUUGUUCCAACUGUAUGCAGUUAAGUGCUGAUACCUUUGCAAAAGAAGAAAACUUCGGAUACAUUACAAUCUGUAACAGUGAGGAAUUUCUCCUGGACCCAGAUUAGGCACAAGCUACAUCCAAACACCAGAAAGCCUUUAUUAAGUGGGGAGGACAAGUUAAAGUGGCUGCUUUCUGACUCAAGCAGCAAAUGGCCUCGUAGGUAUAAUUUUUAAGAGGAUGAGGUGGUAAAGGAGAUAGGGGUCAAAGGGAGAAAGUGUUAUUCUUUUGUUUAAAAAGAAGAAAAGAGAAAUGAGACAUGUUUAUUGUAAGGCCCAGCAGAGUAGGGAGACUAAGAGGAAAGGAACAGGGAUAAUGAGCACAUAGGUGAGAGAGUAAAGAGGAAGCAGAGAGAGUAAAUGGGCAGGGAUCUGUCUUUUUAAAGGGGUCCUCUGCACUUGCGUGCAGACUUAGUUCCCAUGGAACUUCGUGCUGACCAGGGUACUUACUGCCUGUUCCACCAGGUAACAGGGGCAGGCCAGCACAAUGCCUGAACCUUUCAUUCCCACCUCUACUUAUUAUUUUAAAAAAAAAAAAGGUGGGGUGUUAGACAUGGCAGGUUAAGGAAUAAGGGCGUCAAAUUCUCGAGACUGCUUCCUGUUGACGUGGGGGGCAUUGACCAUCUUUGGGGGACCCGAGAAGGUUGGGGUGCUGCCACAUCCUGGGGUAGCUGGUUGUUUCAUUGCAGUCCAAGCUGUAUGGAACUCCCUGACCUGGCAAGAUGUUGACAGAGCAGAGGACAAGGUUAAGUUUAGAAAAAAAAAAAAAAAAUUGCUAGGUCCUGGUAUUUGAGGGAAGAUUGUAAGGCGAGGGAGGGGUUCCCGAG